rnacentral:pre_miRNA from 1 species
GCAAAAUAUAAUAUUAAUAUAAGUUUUAUGUGAAAAUAAUUUAAUUUUUUUUAAUUUAUUAUAUUUUUAUAAUUUUAUAUAUUAUCUUUUAAAAUAUAAUAUAUAAGAUUAAAUUCUAUUUUCACAUAAAUUAAAAUAUGUAUGUUUAU